AGGCGUAUAGCUCAGCUGGUAGAGCGGCGGUCUCCAAAACCGCAGGUCGCGGGUUCGAAACCUGCUGCGCCUG
rnacentral:tRNA from 1 species